UUCCGGGUUAAUCGGGUGCGGGCUAAUCGGGUUGGAGGUUUUUUCGGGUUGUAAAUCUCCAACCCUAACCCUAAACGUUCGGGUUUCGGGCUAGCCCAUCGGGUUAGAGGUUUUCGGGUUGUAAAUGUUUGAGUAACACUCUUCUUCACCACUCUCCAUAUCAACACUUGGAGAUGAGUACUCCUCCAUCUUUAACACCUACAACAUGAAAACUGAUAAUGUUCUGGUGCGAGUCUUCAUGAAAAAUAAUGUUCUGUCACAACUGGCCUGUGGUGUGGAUUAUUUGAGUUAACAAAUAAAAUUGAGAAGAAAAACCAAAUGUGUUGGUUAGAAAUACAUAUUCAUUCUUGUUUCAUGUAAGAUACAGACUGGUGAGUUGACAUGAUAAAGCUUACAAUGCUAUGAAUUCCAUAUGAUUGUCAAGUUUGACUACCAUUAUCUUAUUCUUUUAGCCAAACAACGAAUAAGAUCAAUGGAAACUGCUGCACAUAUUUAAGCAACCAGUAAGUGCAUAACAGAUUGCUACCAAAUAGUGAUAAUAAUAACGAGGCUUGAAAGUUUAGUAUAAGUUGUUGCACCUUCUUCCAUACCAUAAUCUAUCUGUAUUUCAGGACGAAGUGAAAAAAGAUCUGACAGCUGAAGAAGCUAAUGAGAAGAAAAAAUAUAAGUUUGCGGAGUUGGGUACGACUCUACUUGCUGAUCCAGAGUCUAAUAUUGCCUUCUAGUCUUCUACUUCUACCUAGACUAAGAACAGAAAUUACUUACCGGAGUUGAGGGAGUGAGCAGCAGUUGCCGCAGACUAGAAGCAGCAGACGGCGACGAGCCGGCGAUGGCCGCUCAGCGCAGGUGGGAAGAGGCGCGGCGGUGGCAGAGGAGUGGAGGCGCGAUGGCGCUGGGCUCAGGUUGGAAGCGGCGUGCUUCUCCGGUGGGAGACAGAUUGGAAUGGAUGCGCCGGAGGGGGAGGCGCGGCGCGGCGACGUGGCUGGAAGUGGUGCGGCAGAGCAGUGGCUGAAGGAAUGGAAGAGCCGAAGAGAAGAGUGGAGGUCAAACAGUGGCGCGGCGACGUGGAAUGGAAGUGGUGUGCGGCAGAGCAGUUUCUAACUUUGAAAUUGAAACAAACCCUAAAAUUUUAAUAUUUUUAAUUUCGUUUUUUUUUUAAAAAAUCAUCAACCCGACGGGCUGGCCCGACAACCCGACGGGCUGGCCCGCUUCAACCCGCCAGCCCGAACGGGCUAGCCCGAUAAGCCCGAUUUGUUAUCGGGUUGCAAUUUUCCAGCCCUAACCCUCUACUUUUGUCGGGUUAUUCGGGUCGGCCCACGGGUUUCGGGCUGGAUUGACAUCCCUA
rnacentral:lncRNA from 1 species